CCAGUUUGAUUCUAGCUGACAACUUAGCCAUUAUUGAAUCAAUAUACAUGUAAGUUCACGCUACCCCGCAUUCUCUGUAUGCCUAAAGGGCAAUAAUUUACAUCAAGAAUUCUACACGUAAUAGUGCGCCACAGUAAGUAAUAUUAAUAAUUCUGCAAAAGCAAGAAUUGGAUAUCAAUUUAAGGGUUGGCAAAAUUCGUGCCAGCUGCCGCGGUUAGACGAUAAACUCAAGCUAACUAAAAAACAACUAUAUACAUGGUGAGCUAAACAGUUAUUUAAGGUCUAAUUUUACAGCCUUAGAGCCCUAUUCACCAAAAUUUUAUGAAGACAUGAACUAAAACACGGAUUAGAUACCCGUCUAUUAAUGUAAUAAAUAAAGUUGAGAAAUACGAACCACAGUUUAAAACUCAAAGAUUUUGGCGGUGUCUUAUCAAACCAGGGGAACCUGUCUCAUAACUCGAUAAUCCACGAAUACCUUUCCUCUCCUAGACGAAUCAGUUUGUGUACUGCCGUCGUAAGCACACCUCUGAAAGCAAGGAGUAUGCAAAUAUGACUAACCCUCAUUUACGUCAGGUCAAAGUGCAGCUCAUGAAGAGGUGAUGAUGGGUUACACUCUUAAAAAAGAUACAGAAUAUAGUUUUAAUUUCUAUAUAAAGGUGGACUUGGAAGUAACAUUAAUUCAAGUUAUCAUGAAGAUGAAUCUAAGACAUGUACACAUCGCCCGUCACUCUCACCUAAAGGCGAGAUAAGUCGUAACAAAGUAGGUGUAACGGAAGUUGCACCUGU
rnacentral:ncRNA from 1 species